AUUCAGAAAGAGGGUGACAGCUGUUAGAGACCUCCCCUCUUCUGUGCAGUCACUUUUAUUGACCUGUGCAGUUCCUUAAGCCCACGGAACUGUUUCGCGUCCUAUGGACCGUGCUCAGUGCCUUCCCGGAAACUGUCGCGUUCUUCCUAUUCCCAAAGGCUCCCAACCUUUCUCAUCUUUCAGCGCCUAACCACGUCAGGUUGCUUCCUAGCUCAGAACCUGCAUCGCAGCCUGACCUCCACCCUACCAUAGCCCCGGCCUUCUGGAAAGGAAAUGACCCUGCAGCCGUCCCCUCCUGGCAUGCAGAGAUGGCUCACCAGCGUGGGGAUUCCUCAUCCUGACCCACAAGGGCCGCAUAAAUGAACUAAAAUUGGCUUUUGACCUCUUCAUCAGUUGCUUACUCAAUGACAACAAAUCUGUACCUUUUUUUGUUUGUAUGCUUAUGUGAGAGUUUCUUGUCCCCGUGCCUGGCUGUCUUCACUGGGGACCCUUGGAGGGGGGCAGGUUGAGUUUCCCUCCCCACCCCGAGCAAAGCCCCCGCAGCCAAAGACCUCCGGAACCCAGCCAUAGCCAUGCUCAAGGCGCCUCUCCACAUAUUUGGACGAGCCUCACGCAUGAAGGAAUCGGCAGAGGAACCCAGGUGUGUGGGACUCAGGGCUGAGACCUCCAAGCUUGCUCAGAUCGGGACUGGGCCUCCUUCACCCAGAUCCCCCAUUUUCUAGUAGCUAGGUGGUCACACCCACAAACUGCCCCCGGCGCUGUGAAAUCUCAUCAAUGGUCACGAUCGAGAGACUAUAAAACAAAGCUGUGGAAGUGCACGGCCGCAUUUGUGGCCAUAUGACCUCUUAUAGCCCAGUUCUCCCUCUUGGAGAACCUGGCAAGGUACCGAGAGCAUCCUGCCCACAUGGCAGAAUCUGGCAAGCUCUCCGUGGCAUAUCUGAUAUGCCAAAUACAGUUACAAUGAUGGGUCUCAUUCCCCUUACCCUGAAAAAACCUCCAAUAUAGCACUGCUGGGAAGAACAAGUAAAGAGAGGCUCCUAAAAUCUCAGGGCUAGGAUGAAUGGAGACAUUACUGGUGCCCGCUCAAGCAAACUGAUGAUCAAUGGAAUGACAGUGACACAGUAAUGCUUGUGUGCUAUUUUGAGGUUUCAAGGAUUAAACCCAGAUCCCAUAUAUGCAAAACAGGAACCUACCCCUGAACAGCACCCUGGCUCCCUACUCCUUCCUUUGACCUAUCUCCAGUUAUUCUGGGCAAAAACGGGCAUUAUUUCCUUGCAGAUUCCUCCUGUCUGUGAACACUGAGUCUUCCCAGUUCCUGGGAGGUGACUGUGAAACACACAGAUAACUGCACUUUAGGUCCGCUUCCUUGUUAUGCCUUUCCUGUCUAUCAAAAAACAAAAAACGGUAAAUUCAGGCCCCCGCCCAAUGCAUUAGCACACUGGCUAUGGGAUUAGGAUGUCGUCCCAGCACCAAGCAUUCUCUCUGGAGCCUUUCACAUGUUUUCAUGAAGAAAAUGGAAAUGCCACCUCUGCACUGGGCCAUGAAGGUUAAGGUAGGAAACUUAGUUAAUCUCUAACUCGAUUUCAUCAUAUGUAAAUGGGAAUGGUAAUAAUGCUAAUUACAUAGUGCUGUGAAAAGAGCACGAUACAAGUUUUUUUUAAAGUGCACAGUGCAUAGGAAAUGAAUAGUCACUAAGUGAAAGAUAAAAAACAAAUGCAAAAAAAUUAAACACGGGAAAUCUCUUUGUGAUUUCAAGAAAGAGAACAUUUCCCUGACGCAUACUCCAAAAUAUAAAAAUCAUCCAGAUGUGAGAAUAUCCAAAAGGAGAACUUCAGAGAUGAACAGAGGGCUCAGAACUGGAGACUUCGACACCAAAGCCCACGGGGCGUCGCCCUUGCACACGCCAAGUGACCAGCCUUCUCUGCACAAGAAAAACCGAAGGCCCGUGGGAAAGUGGAUGCGGCUCAUAAACAGAACUCAGAGAAGUGGAAACCCAGGCGAGCUCUCAAAGCUUACAGAGAGGAUCGGAGCGACAGGACACCAGGUUAAGGCUUGCACACGGCUGAACCGGGUUUGGUCCCCAGCACCACUUAUGGUGCCCUGAGCACUGCCAGGAGUGAGACCUGAGCACCACCUGGCACGAGUCCAAAUUAGAAACAAGGGAAACCUAGGGAAAAAAUAACGAGAAAUCCUUGAGCAGAAACCUCAGAGUCCAGUCGGAAGGGCAUCUGGCCUUGGUUCAAUCCCCAGAAGGACACCAAGGCCCCCAAGCCCUGGUGGGUGCUGUCCUUGAACAGAGUCAGGAAGAAAUCCUGAGCACUGCUGGGUUGGCCCAAAAACAAAACACAAACAAAAAAAAGAGAAUGAGCGAGAAAUAAAAGCUAAUAAUAAAUCAAUAUAUUCAGCAAUUUAUCACAUAGUUAAUAUAAAUAUUCAUGCUUAUUAAUAAUUAAAUCACUGUCACUGUCAUCCCAUUGCUCAUCGAUUUGCUCGAGCGGGCACCAGUAACAUUACCAGAUAAAUCAUCGAUCCCACUGGAUUGGGGAAAACGCAGAGAGGGGAGACGCAGCAGGUGCUGGUGAGGACAUGUGGAACAGGAGCACUGCCAGAGGCUAGGACACAAGCACAGCGGGCUGGGCGCCUGCCUGGCACGCAGAGACCGGGUUUGAUACCCGAGUCCUGCCAAGAGUAAGCGCUGAGCAUGCAAAAGAAUAAAAAUGAAAAGAGUACUGCGAGUGAACGUGACGACAGCAAUGCGGAGGGAAAUGGGUAUGCUUAGACCUCUCCCCGCUGUGUAGCCCAAGAAACAAGGCAUCGUUUUACUCAUCCUCUAGCUGUGUCUGAUGAGAGAGAAACAAAAUAGUCAAGAGCGCCAGGGAGAGAACACAGGGUUAAGGUGCGGUCCAAGGCACCUGCCUCCCCGAAACCCCCAAACAUAACAGUCCAAAGAUCACAGUGAACGAAAGCAGCCCCGAGACUGUACCUGCAAGUCUAUCAUGGGACUCCCGAUGCGCCUCUUCCACCCGGCUGUCCUCAAAAGAGAUGACAAGACGGCCAGUCCCCCCAGCACACCCAGAGCAAUCUAGAGAGAGAAGACAACUGAAGUUAAUGCACUGACCCUCAACAACAGUAACUAGCACUAAAAAUAGAAGAUAAUGGGGCUGGAGAGAAAGCACAGCGGGUAGGGCGUUUGCCUUGCACGCAGCUGACCCAGGUUUAAUUCCCAGCAUCCCAUAUGGUCCCCUGAGCACCUCCAGGAGUAAUUCCUGAGUGCAGAGCCAGGAGUGACCCCUGAGCAUCGCCAGGUGUGACUCAAAAAGCAAAAAAAAAAGAACCAAAUAAACUAAAAAUAGAAGAUAAGACUCAAACUGAAAGCCCCACAGGAGUCGAGCUGAAGAACACCCAGUGCCAAAUCCAGGACAAGUGGAGCAAGAAGAUAAACAGCAGUGACUUGCAAUUACGACAAAAAACUAAAUGUUCCAAGUCCACACUGGUUUAAAUAAGCAGUUGUAAAGAAAUCGUGCAAACAGAAAAUAAUCAUUAGAUAAACAUCACAGCACACCUUUUUUUGUAGGUAAUAAUUACCAAUGAAAGGUAAAAUAUUAGAAGGCAAAACGAGAAGCAGGUAUUUGCAAAAUCUCAGAAUCUCCCCGACACAAUUUUAGAGAUAUGACCAAAGUCACGACAGCAGCAAGACACUGGGACGGGGACGUUCCGAGAAGGUACAGCACCGUGAGGGCCAGGCUCCAUCUGAUCACAGGAAAGCGUCGGCAAGCCCAGUGCAGGGUCAAACAAAACUGACCAGUUAUUUCUGACGUAUAAGAAAUAUUAGGUUAUGGGCCAGAGCAAUAGUACAGCAGGGAGGGCGUUUGCCUUGCACACGGCUGACCCGGGUCUGAUUCCCGGCAUUCCAUAUGGUCCCCUGAGCACCACCAGGAGUUAAUUCCUGAGCUUAGAGCCAGGAGGAACCUCUGAGCAUCGCCGGGUGUGACCCAAAAAAGCAAAUAAA